ensembl:snoRNA
UCUAUUAGCCUCUGAUGAAGCCUGUGUUGGUAGGGGCAUCUAAGAGUGUUGAUGAAUGCCCACCCCUCUGAUGGAAAAAA